rnacentral:tRNA from 1 species
CGGUAGCUCAACUGGAUAGAGCAUCUGACUACGGAUCAGAAGGUUGGGGGUUCGAAUCCUCCCCGG